UACGGAGGGUGCAAGCGUUAUCCGGAUUCACUGGGUUUAAAGGGUGCGUAGGUGGACAGGUAAGUCAGUGGUGAAAUCCCCGAGCUUAACUCGGGAACUGCCGUUGAUACUAUCUGUCUCGAAUAUCGCGGAGGUAAGCGGAAUAUGUCAUGUAGCGGUGAAAUGCUUAGAUAUGACAUAGAACACCGAUUGCGAAGGCAGCUUACUACACGAUCAUUGACACUGAGGCACGAAAGCGUGGGGAGCAAACAGG
rnacentral:rRNA from 1 species